CAAGCCCAAAGGCCCUACAUCUUC
rnacentral:siRNA from 1 species